CGGAUCCUUGACAACAUGAAAGUGAUCAGAAGAUGUAGAACCUACAGAAGACACACAACGGUUCAUAUCAAUAGUAAGGGAUGUGUUUGAACAGAAGCAGAGCUCUGGGACGUGUGGACAGACUUUCACUGUAAUGAUGGACAUCUGCUCAUGGACAGAGUAAGGGAUGUGUUUUGAACAGAAGCAGAGCUCUGGGACGUUUGGACAGACUUUCACUGUAAUGAUGGACAUCUGCUCAUGGACAGAAGUAUAACCCCUGCUGGACAUCGUGCCGGGGCUCGGGGGGGACCCGAAUCAUCCCCACUCCUUCAUUCACACAACACUCACUCAUAUCACAGAGAUCUGGCUGGGAUUGAACCAGCAACCUCUGAACCAUGAGGCAGUGCUCUAACCUGUGAGCCACAGAUCUCUUGUCUGAACAUGUGAAGGAACCUAUAUUUCACUCUUCACCUGCAUGUGGCCACUGAUUUUUCAAUAAGCCAAUUAAAGACUUUCAUUAGAAAGCUGAGGUGAGAUUCAAACCCAUGCCAUGAUCACAGGUUUAGCAGUAGAGAACGUGCGUUUAGCCACUGGCCCAACGUGGCUUUUAUGCUCAGUGCUGGUGUUUGAGCCACUUCUUUGGUUAUACAACACCAAAACAAUUAGGAUUAAUGUGAGCAAUAGUGGAAUUUGAACUCAUCCAUGAAUACAAUGCAAAACUUUAUCCACUGUGCCACUGUUUUAAUGAGAGUUUUGUUGUGCAAUGUUUCAUUUAUAAAUGGAUCGACUUUUCAGUUUAACUUCAGCAGCUUAUCUUGACCCACUGUGUUGAGAUGGCAAUGCCAUUUUAAACGUGAACAUUUUGUGAACUAAGCUUAAAGGUUGGUAAAAGCAUCUGGUCCCUACUUUUUCUGUGCAACCAUUUCUUUUUUCUCAGGUGACCCUACGCAGGACAAAUGGGUUGGAGAAUGGAUGGAAGUCUUAAACAGUUUUGCAUAUUUUUCUGUACUACCCCAGAUAUGGCAGCUUGUUACAG